GCCUGUGUAACUAAUGAGAUAGAGUUACACUAUGUCUGAAUCUGUGGAUAAACAACUCUCCAUACCAGGAAUGAAGAAGCAAGAAGCUGAGAGAUAAUGAGAAUAAGCCACAAUAUCAAAAUCAACUGACUUUACAAUGAACAACUCAUCGCUGGUCAAACCAGGUGGGUGACCCUGUGAGCAAGCUACGUGGCCUCAACAAAGAAGUACAAGCCUGUUAGAAAUCAAAAGUGCAGUCAAAUAUCAAACCUGGAAGGCCUGGAAGAGAUCAUUUUCAGAUCACAUGAAAUCAGGAUGAAUUCCAUCAAUUAAUUUGUUCUGUGUUUAACAUUUAUUUAGUGCUCAAUAUCAGUUUAUGUACUGAAUAGUAAUAAAUUAUCUCAUUAACACAUGUAUUCUGUUUCUGAUUCUGACAUAAAACAUCAUUAACAUGGAGGAUCAAACCUCCGUGUCUAGUUUCAAAGGGAAGUGAAAGAAUAUACAUCA